GACGAACGCUGGCGGCGUGCUUAACACAUGCAAGUCGAACGGAAAGGCCCUGCUUUUGUGGGGUGCUCGAGUGGCGAACGGGUGAGUAACACGUGAGUAACCUGCCCUUGACUUUGGGAUAACUUCAGGAAACUGGGGCUAAUACCGGAUAGGAGCUCCUGCUGCAUGGUGGGGGUUGGAAAGUUUCGGCGGUUGGGGAUGGACUCGCGGCUUAUCAGCUUGUUGGUGGGGUAGUGGCUUACCAAGGCUUUGACGGGUAGCCGGCCUGAGAGGGUGACCGGCCACAUUGGGACUGAGAUACGGCCCAGACUCCUACGGGAGGCAGCAGUGGGGAAUAUUGCACAAUGGGCGGAAGCCUGAUGCAGCAACGUCGCGUGCGGGAUGACGGCCUUCGGGUUGUAAACCGCUUUCGCCUGUGACGAAGCGUGAGUGACGGUAAUGGGUAAAGAAGCACCGGCUAACUACGUGCCAGCAGCCGCGGUGAUACGUAGGGUGCGAGCGUUGUCCGGAUUUAUUGGGCGUAAAGGGCUCGUAGGUGGUUGAUCGCGUCGGAAGUGUAAUCUUGGGGCUUAACCCUGAGCGUGCUUUCGAUACGGGUUGACUUGAGGAAGGUAGGGGAGAAUGGAAUUCCUGGUGGAGCGGUGGAAUGCGCAGAUAUCAGGAGGAACACCAGUGGCGAAGGCGGUUCUCUGGGCCUUUCCUGACGCUGAGGAGCGAAAGCGUGGGGAGCGAACAGGCUUAGAUACCCUGGUAGUCCACGCUGUAAACGGUGGGUACUAGGUGUGGGGUCCAUUCCACGGGUUCCGUGCCGUAGCUAACGCUUUAAGUACCCCGCCUGGGGAGUACGGCCGCAAGGCUAAAACUCAAAGGAAUUGACGGGGCCCCGCACAAGCGGCGGAGCAUGCGGAUUAAUUCGAUGCAACGCGUAGAACCUUACCUGGGUUUGACAUGGAUCGGGAGCGCUCAGAGAUGGGUGUGCCUCUUUUGGGGUCGGUUCACAGGUGGUGCAUGGCUGUCGUCAGCUCGUGUCGUGAGAUGUUGGGUUAAGUCCCGCAACGAGCGCAACCCUUGUUCACUGUUGCCAGCACGUUAUGGUGGGGACUCAGUGGAGACCGCCGGGGUCAACUCGGAGGAAGGUGGGGAUGACGUCAAGUCAUCAUGCCCCUUAUGUCCAGGGCUUCACGCAUGCUACAAUGGCUGGUACAGAGAGUGGCGAGCCUGUGAGGGUGAGCGAAUCUCGGAAAGCCGGUCUCAGUUCGGAUUGGGGUCUGCAACUCGACCUCAUGAAGUCGGAGUCGCUAGUAAUCGCAGAUCAGCAACGCUGCGGUGAAUACGUUCCCGGGGCU
rnacentral:rRNA from 1 species